rnacentral:rRNA from 1 species
AGAGCGAACGCUGGCGGCAUGCUUAACACAUGCAAGUCGCACGGGCAGGGGCAACCCUGUCAGUGGCGGACGGGUGAGUAACGCGUAGGUAUCUAUCCUUGGGUGGGGGACAACUGUGGGAAACUACAGCUAAUACCGCAUGAUAACUGAGGUUUAAAGGCGCAAGUCGCCUGGGGAGGAGCCUGCGUACGAUUAGCUUGUUGGUGGGGUAAAGGCCUACCAAGGCGACGAUCGUUAGCUGGUCUGAGAGGAUGAUCAGCCACAUUGGGACUGAGACACGGCCCAAACUCCUACGGGAGGCAGCAGUGGGGAAUAUUGGACAAUGGGCGCAAGCCUGAUCCAGCAAUGCCGCGUGUGUGAAGAAGGUCUUCGGAUUGUAAAGCACUUUCGACGGGGACGAUGAUGACGGUACCCGUAGAAGAAGCCCCGGCUAACUUCGCGCCAGCAGCCGC